UACGUAGGGGGCAAGCGUUGUCCGGAUUUACUGGGUGUAAAGGGCGCGUAGGCGGCUAUUCAAGUCAGUGGUGAAAUCCUGCGGCUUAACUGCAGAACUGCCAUUGAUACUGAGUAGCUUGAAUGUGGAAGAGAGAGACGGAAUUCCAGGUGUAGUGGUGAAAUACGUAGAUAUCUGGAAGAACACCAGUUGCGAAGGCGGUCUCUUGGUCCAUUAUUGACGCUGAGGCGCGAAAGCGUGGGUAG
rnacentral:rRNA from 1 species